rnacentral:rRNA from 1 species
AUUGAACGCUGGCGGCAGGCCUAACACAUGCAAGUCGAGCGGGGUUUUCGGACCUAGCGGCGGACGGGUGAGUAAUGCGUAGGAAGCUACCCGAUAGAGGGGGAUACCAGUUGGAAACGACUGUUAAUACCGCAUAAUGUCUACGGACCAAAGUGUGGGACCUUCGGGCCACAUGCUAUCGGAUGCGCCUACGUGGGAUUAGCUAGUUGGUGAGGUAAUGGCUCACCAAGGCGACGAUCUCUAGCUGGUUUGAGAGGAUGAUCAGCCACACUGGAACUGAGACACGGUCCAGACUCCUACGGGAGGCAGCAGUGGGGAAUAUUGGACAAUGGGCGCAAGCCUGAUCCAGCCAUGCCGCGUGUGUGAAGAAGGCCUUCGGGUUGUAAAGCACUUUCAGCGAGGAGGAAGGGUUGUGUGUUAAUAGUACACAGCCUUGACGCUACUCGCAGAAGAAGCACCGGCUAACUCUGUGCCAGCCGCCGCGGUAA